rnacentral:lncRNA from 1 species
AUCGGUAGAAGCCCUCAUGGCUUUGUCCCGAGGUUAUAACUCGGGCCUUGCAUUUAUUGCACUUAUUUGCCCAGUAGGUGUCGCAUCGGUAGAAGCGCGCUUGGCUUUGUCCCGAGGUUAGAACUCGGGCCUUUCAUUUAUUGCACUUAUUUGCACAGUAUUCAUCGUGUCGCAUUGCUAGAAGCCCGCUUGGCUUUGUCCCGAGGUUUGAACACGGGUCUUUCAUUUAUUGAACUUACUUGCACAAUAUUCGUCGUGUCGCAUCGGUAGAAGCCCGCUUGGCUUUGUCCCGAGGUUAGAACUCGGGCCUUUCAUUUAUUGCACUUACUUGCACAGUAUAUAUGGCGUCGCAUCGGUAGAAGCCCGCUUGGCAUUUUCUCAAGGUUACAACUCGAGUCUUUCAUUUAUUGAACUUGUACAGUAUUCGUCGUGUCGCAUCGGUAGAUGCCCGCUUGGCUUUGUCCUGAGGUUAGAACAAGAGUCUUUCAUUUAUUGAACUUGCACAGUAUUCGUCGUGCCACAUCGGUAGAAGCCCUCCUGGCUUUGUCCCAAGGUUAUAACUCGGGCCUUUCAUUUAUUGCACUU